AGUCGAGGGGCAGCAUUUCAGUUUGCUUGCAAACUGGAGAUGGCGACCGGCGCACGGGUGAGUAACACGUAUCCAACCUGCCGAUAACUCGGGGAUAGCCUUUCGAAAGAAAGAUUAAUACCCGAUGGUAUAAUCAGACCGCAUGGUCUUAUUAUUAAAGAAUUUCGGUUAUCGAUGGGGAUGCGUUCCAUUAGGCAGUUGGUGAGGUAACGGCUCACCAAACCUUCGAUGGAUAGGGGUUCUGAGAGGAAGGUCCCCCACAUUGGAACUGAGACACGGUCCAAACUCCUACGGGAGGCAGCAGUGAGGAAUAUUGGUCAAUGGGCGCAGGCCUGAACCAGCCAAGUAGCGUGAAGGAUGACUGCCCUAUGGGUUGUAAACUUCUUUUAUAUGGGAAUAAAGUUUUCCACGUGUGGAAUUUUGUAUGUACCAUAUGAAUAAGGAUCGGCUAACUCCGUGCCAGCAGCCGCGGUAAUACGGAGGAUCCGAGCGUUAUCCGGAUUUAUUGGGUUUAAAGGGAGCGUAGGUGGACAGUUAAGUCAGUUGUGAAAGUUUGCGGCUCAACCGUNAAAAUUGCAGUUGAUACUGGCUGUCUUGAGUACAGUAGAGGUGGGCGGAAUUCGUGGUGUAGCGGUGAAAUGCUUAGAUAUCACGAAGAACUCCGAUUGCGAAGGCAGCUCACUGGACUGCAACUGACACUGAUGCUCGAAAGUGUGGGUAUCAAACAGGAUUAGAUACCCUGGUAGUCCACACAGUAAACGAUGAAUACUCGCUGUUUGCGAUAUACAGUAAGCGGCCAAGCGAAAGCAUUAAGUAUUCCACCUGGGGAGUACGCCGGCAACGGUGAAACUCAAAGGAAUUGACGGGGGCCCGCACAAGCGGAGGAACAUGUGGUUUAAUUCGAUGAUACGCGAGGAACCUUACCCGGGCUUAAAUUGCAUUUGAAUANUNUGGAAACAGNNUAGCCGCAAGGCAAAUGUGAAGGUGCUGCAUGGUUGUCGUCAGCUCGUGCCGUGAGGUGUCGGCUUAAGUGCCAUAACGAGCGCAACCCUUAUCUUUAGUUACUAACAGGUCAUGCUGAGGACUCUAGAGAGACUGCCGUCGUAAGAUGUGAGGAAGGUGGGGAUGACGUCAAAUCAGCACGGCCCUUACGUCCGGGGCUACACACGUGUUACAAUGGGGGGUACAGAAGGCAGCUACCUGGUGACAGGAUGCUAAUCCCAAAAGCCUCUCUCAGUUCGGAUCGAAGUCUGCAACCCGACUUCGUGAAGCUGGAUUCGCUAGUAAUCGCGCAUCAGCCAUGGCGCGGUGAAUACGUUCCCGGGCCUUGUACACACCGCCCGUCAAGCCAUGAAAGCCGGGGGUACCUGAAGUACGUAACCGCAAGGAG
rnacentral:rRNA from 1 species